UGGGGAAUUUUGGACAAUGGGGGAAACCCUGAUCCAGCCAUCCCGCGUGUGCGAUGAAGGCCUUCGGGUUGUAAGGCACUUUUGGCAGGAAAGAAACGUCGCGGGUUAAUACCCCGCGAAACUGACGGUACCUGCAGAAUAAGCACCGGCUAACUACGUGCCAGCAGCCGCGGUAAUACGUAGGGUGCAAGCGUUAAUCGGAAUUACUGGGCGUAAAGCGUGCGCAGGCGGUUCGGAAAGAAAGAUGUGAAAUCCCAGAGCUUAACUUUGGAACUGCAUUUUUAACUACCGGGCUAGAGUGUGUCAGAGGGAGGUGGAAUUCCGCGUGUAGCAGUGAAAUGCGUAGAUAUGCGGAGGAACACCGAUGGCGAAGGCAGCCUCCUGGGAUAACACUGACGCUCAUGCACGAAAGCGUGGGGAGCAAACAGGAUUAGAUACCCUGGUAGUCCACGCCCUAAACGAUGUCAACUAGCUGUUGGGGCCUUCGGGCCUUGGUAGCGCAGCUAACGCGUGAAGUUGACCGCCUGGGGAGUACGGUCGCAAGAUUAAAACUUAAAUGAAUUGAC
rnacentral:rRNA from 1 species